rnacentral:rRNA from 1 species
GCCAGUAGCCAUAUCACCCUGCAACUUGCAACUAGCAACCCACUGAAGCUAAGCAGGCGUGAGCCUGGUCAGUAUGGAUGGGAGACCUCCAGGGAAAAACUAAGGUUGCCACUGGAA